rnacentral:rRNA from 1 species
UGGGGAAUAUUGGACAAUGGGCGAAAGCCUGAUCCAGCCAUGCCGCGUGUGUGAAGAAGGUCUUCGGAUUGUAAAGCACUUUAAGUUGGGAGGAAGGGCAUUAACCUAAUACGUUAGUGUUUUGACGUUACCGACAGAAUAAGCACCGGCUAACUCUGUGCCAGCAGCCGCGGUAAUACAGAGGGUGUAAGCGUUAAUCGGAAUUACUGGGCGUAAAGCGCGCGUAGGUGGUUUGUUAAGUUGGAUGUGAAAUCCCCGGGCUCAACCUGGGAACUGCAUUCAAAACUGACUGACUAGAGUAUGGUAGAGGGUGGUGGAAUUUCCUGUGUAGCGGUGAAAUGCGUAGAUAUAGGAAGGAACACCAGUGGCGAAGGCGACCACCUGGACUAAUACUGACACUGAGGUGCGAAAGCGUGGGGAGCAAACA